rnacentral:rRNA from 1 species
GACGAACGCUGGCGGCGUGCCUAACACAUGCAAGUCGAGCGGAGAUGAUGUGAGGAAGUUUUCGGAUGGAAUCACAUUAUUUUAGCGGCGGACGGGUGAGUAACGCGUGAGCGACCAACCUUGCACAGGGGGAUAACGGACCGAAAGGUUCACUAAUACCGCAUGAGACCACGGUGUUGCAUGACACAGGGGUCAAAGGAGGAAUCCGGUGCAAGACGGGCUCGCGUCCGAUUAGGUAGUUGGAGGGGUAACGGCCCACCAAGCCUAUGAUCGGUAGCCGACCUGAGAGGGUGAUCGGCCACAUUGGAACUGAGAUACGGUCCAAACUCCUACGGGAGGCAGCAGUGGGGAAUAUUGGGCAAUGGGGGAAACCCUGACCCAGCAACGCCGCGUGAAGGAAGAAGGUUUUCGGAUUGUAAACUUCUGUCCUUGGUGAAGAGAAGAAGACGGUAGCCAAGGAGGAAGCCCCGGCUAACUACGUG